rnacentral:rRNA from 1 species
UACGUAGGGUGCUAGCGUUGUCCGGAUUUAUUGGGCGUAAAGGGCUCGUAGGCGGCGUGUCGCGUCGGGGAGUGAAAGCCCGCUGCUUAACGGCGGGUUGGCUUCCGGUACGGGCAUCGCUGGAGUGCGGCAGGGGAGACUGGAAUUCCUGGUGUAGCGGUGGAAUGCGCAGAUAUCAGGAGGAACACCGGUGGCGAAGGCGGGUCUCUGGGCCGAUACUGACGCUGAGGAGCGAAAGCGUGGGGAGCGAACAGG